CCUACGGGAGACAGCAGUGGGGAAUAUUGCACAAUGGGGGAAACCCUGAUGCAGCGACGCCGCGUGAGUGAAGAAGUAAUUCGUUAUGUAAAGCUCUAUCAGCAGGGAAGAAAAUGACGGUAGCUGAUUAAGAAGCCACGGCUAACUACGUGCCAGCAGCCGCGGGAAUACGGAGGGGGCAAGCGUUAACCGGAUUUACUGGGUGUAAAGGGAGCGUAGACGGCAGUGCAAGUCUGGGGUGAAAGGCGGGGGCUCAACCCCCGGACUGCUCUGGAAACUGGAUGGCUGGAGUGCAGGAGAGGUAAGUGGAAUUCCUAGUGUAGCGGUGAAAUGCGUAGAUAUUAGGAGGAACAUCAGUGGCGAAGGCGACUUACUGGACUGUAACUGACGUUGAGGCUCGAAAGCGUGGGGAGCAAACAGGAUUAGAUACCCCAGUAGUC
rnacentral:rRNA from 1 species